AGUGAGCAACGCCUCAGCCUCCGUACCACAAACCCCCACACCACAGUAGUCUCUUCUGGCUGGAGCUGUCCACGUGUUGCAUUCACUCCCAUGUUGCGGGUAGAAAAAUCUAAGCUGCACAGUUAGCUCGAGGUCAUAAAUUCUAUUACUAUAAGUGGAGAUAAAACAUAGAGACUCUGCCUUUGACUCGGGUACUUUAGCCAAUAUGAAUGAUGUUUCUUUCCCUAGAUUAACAGCAACUUAAUUUACAGAAACACAACACUGGAAGUUUGUACUUUCAGAGAUGUAUAUUUUGUUUUGGGAGAAAAAAGUCAAUAUAAUUACCUGCAGUUCAUCUCCUCCUGCUGGUGGCAGCAGUAAAACAAACAUGUCAACCAUAUCAGCAACAGCAAACUCCGACUGACCCACACCUGCAAUGGAUGACGGCCAUGACACCUACUUGGCGGUGAAAUAAAGGCAAGAGCCACCUCAGCGUCUCCCUCUCCACCCUCCGCAGCCACGAUGGGAACUAAGUGCUAAGAAUGGAGAGCAGAGAUGGAAGCCCAGGACACUGAGGGCACAGUACAACGACCAGGCCUGCUUGGGACUGCCUGCCUCCAGGCUUCUUCUGUUUACAAAACAAUAAGCCACUUUCUGUUUGAGUCCCAGUUGUUUCAAGUCUCUGGGACAAGCAGCCAAAUGCAACUUCCAGCUCCUGUACUUGGUUUUCCUGGUCCUCUACCUUGAUUCUCCUACUACCACAUGGGCAACUCUUCCUCCGUCCACCCUUAGGUGGGGUUUCUAGUCUCCAGCCCCAUCUCUCUUCACCCCCAGCCUCCGCACUCUAUGUGCUAAGUAUCCUGAGCAAACUGCAGUUCUCUAAAUGGGCUGUGUCCUCUCAUUCUAUUUCAUUUUAUUUAACUCCAAUUUCUCUUUCAACACGGAGUUUAACUGUCACCUCCUCCUGGAAGUCUUCCACGAUCCCUCAAACCCAAGUCAGACUGCGUCACAAACAUUUAUCACUAAGUAAUAGUGAUAAUAGUCUCUCCACAAGAAUGUGAAUUUUUUGGGGUUUCUAUUUUAGUAUUUUCGUUGUGUAUAACACACUGGGAUAUAAAGGGAUAUAAAGCAGUAAAACAUGGCUCUGUAUUAAAAAAGUACCCAGCUACAUGAAUUUUCUGGGCGAAUAUUGAAGACAAGGGAAUUGUGCUUUAAAUAAAAUAGGUGUUUUGUUAAA